rnacentral:rRNA from 1 species
UACGGAGGGGGCAAGCGUUGUUCGGAAUUACUGGGCGUAAAGGGCGCGCAGGCGGCUGCUCAAGUCAGGCGUGAAAGGCCUGGGCUCAACCCGGGAAUUGCGCUUGAGACUGGGCUGGCUUGAGUGCGGGAGAGGAUGGUGGAAUUCCCAGUGUAGAGGUGAAAUUCGUAGAUAUUGGGAAGAACACCAAUUGCGAAGGCAGCUCGCUGGGACGUAACUGACGCUGAGACGCGAAAGCGUGGGGAGCAAACAGG